CCUACGGGAGGCAGCAGUGGGGAAUAUUGGACAAUGGGGGGAACCCUGAUCCAGCGACGCCGCGUGAGUGAAGAAGUAUUUCGGUAUGUAAAGCUCUAUCAGCAGGGAAGAAAAUGACGGUACCUGACUAAGAAGCCCCGGCUAACUACGUGCCAGCAGCCGCGGUAAUACGUAGGGGGCAAGCGUUAUCCGGAUUUACUGGGUGUAAAGGGAGCGUAGACGGGGAAGGAAGUCUGAUGUGAAAGGUCGGGGCUCAACCCCGGGACUGCAUUGGAAACUGUUGAACUGGAGGACCGGAGAGGUAAGCGGAAUUCCAAGUGUAGCGGUGAAAUGCGUAGAUAUAAGGAGGAACACCAGGGGCGAAGGCGGCUUACUGGACUGUAACUGACGUUGAGGCUCGAAAGCGUGGGGAGCAAACAGGAUUAGAUACCCGAGUAGUC
rnacentral:rRNA from 1 species